AGUGACAUGAAGCGGUUCAGUGCA
rnacentral:siRNA from 1 species